rnacentral:rRNA from 1 species
AACGUAGGAGACAAACGUUAUCCGGAGUUACUGGGCGUAAAGGGCGUGUAGGCGGUUAGUUAAGUCUGGCGUGAAAGCUCCCGGCUAAACCGGGAGAGGUCGUUGGAUACUGGCUGACUAGAGGACGGUAGAGGCGUGUGGAAUUCCGGGUGUAGUGGUGAAAUGCGUAGAGAUCCGGAGGAACACCAGUGGCGAAGGCGGCAUCCUGGUCUGCGACUGACGCUGUGGCGCGAAAGCUAGGGGAGCGAACGGG